GAUCCGGGAUCGAAAGAGGCCGGGAUCCUGUGAUCCGGGCCCAAUUAGGUUUAAGCUGUAUCUCUUGCAACAUUAAAGCAACGACACGACAAUACUUCUCCCCCUUGCCAAAACAGCAGGUUCUAAGAGCAGUACCGGGAAGAUGUGUCGUUGCAGAAAGGA
rnacentral:sRNA from 1 species